AUAGUUUUAAGUAAAAUAAUAGCUUUGGGUGUUAUUGAUAAAAGUUUAACUCUUUUUUUCUUGA
rnacentral:tRNA from 1 species